rnacentral:rRNA from 1 species
AUGAAGUCCACCACAGCACUGAGAGCCCGAAGGGUGGCGGCCAUCAUGGCCAUAGGUCUGGCCGCAGCGCUCGCCACGGCCGUGAACGCCCAGCAGUGCGGCUCGCAGGCUGGCGGCUCGACCGACCAUCCCUACUGCGGCGCCGGCUCCCAGAGCCGGUGCAACGGCUGUGGUACCGGCGACCAGGGCUUGUCGUCCAUCCUGUCCAGGGACCUCUUCGAGCGGCUCCUUCUCCACCGCAACGACGGGGCGUGCCUGGCACGUGGGUUCUACACCUACGACGCCUUCCUUGCCGCCGCCGCCGCAUACCCGUCCUUCGGCACCACCAGGAGCACGGAGACGCGAAAGCGGGAGGUGGCAGCCUUCCUCGGGCAGACCUCCCACGAGACCACUGGUGGGUGGGCCACGGCACCAGACGGCCCCUACUCCUGGGGCUACUGCUUCAAGCAAGAGAAAGGGAAUGACACACCGAAAAGCUACUGCGAGUCAAAGCUGGAGUGGCCGGCGCGCUAUCGGGGUGGACCUGCUCAACAACCCGGACCUAGUGGCGACAAACCCAACGGUGUCGUUCAAGACCGCGUUGUGGUUCUGGAUGACGGCACAAGCAAACAAGCCGGCGUCGCACGCUGUGACCACGGGUCAGUGGACGCCGCCGGCCGGACGCCUGGCUACGGCGUCAUCGUCAGCAUCAUCAACGGUGAGAUCGAGUGCGGAAAGGGGCAGAGCCCCGAGGUGGUUGACCGGAUCGGAUUCUACAAGCGCUACUGCGAUGUCCUCGGUGUCGGCUACGGUAGCAACCUUGACUGCUACAACCAGAGGUCAUUCAAAAACGGGCUCCUGGCUGGGCUCGCAUCACAGUGA